AUGGAAGCCUAUGUGGAUAAGAUGCUGAGGUGGCCAUGGGACCCACAUGUCAUCCCCAUUGUCUUCUUCCCCUCUCUUCCUAUCUCAUCUCUCUCUCCUUCGCCUCCUGGUCGCAUCGCGCCGCCGCUGCCCGCUGCUGCACCAUCCUCUGAUCACCGCCCGCCUCCUAGCUGCGUCGCGGCGCCAUCCCUCCUGGUCCACCACUCCAGCGCCAUGACCGGCGAGCCAGAGGAGGAGCUCACCUCGCCCGGUCAUCCUCUGCUCGAUCUGGUCGUUGACCCGGCCGCCGCUGCGGCUCCUAGCACGCUCGUGCCUCCUGGUACGACUGUGCCGGCCUCGCCUCUAUCGGCCGCGCCUGGCGGGCGCUGGACCUCCACCGCCUCGACCCCACCGCUGCGGCCUCCCUAG
rnacentral:rRNA from 1 species